rnacentral:rRNA from 1 species
CAGCAGCCACGGUAAUACGGAGGGUGCAAGCGUUAAUCGGAAUUACUGGGCGUAAAGCUCACGCAGGCGGUCUGACAAGUCAGAUGUGAAAUCCCCGGGCUUAACCUGGGAACUGCAUUUGAAACUGUCAGGCUGGAGUCUUGUAGAGGGGGGUAGAAUUCCAGGUGUAGCGGUGAAAUGCGUAGAGAUCUGGAGGAAUACCGGUGGCGAAGGCGGCCCCCUGGACAAAGACUGACGCUCAGGUGCGAAAGCGUGGGGAGCAAACAGGAUUAGAUACCCCUGUAGUCCCUGUCUCUUAUAC